rnacentral:rRNA from 1 species
UACAGAGGUCUCAAGCGUUGUUCGGAUUCAUUGGGCGUAAAGGGUGCGUAGGCGGCGCGGUAAGUCGGGUGUGAAAUCUUGGAGCUUAACUCCGAAACUGCAUUCGAUACUGCCGUGCUUGAGGACUGGAAAGGAGACUGGAAUUUACGGUGUAGCGGUGAAAUGCGUAGAUAUCGUAAGGAAGACCAGUGGCGAAGGCGGGUCUCUGGACAGUUCCUGACGCUGAGGCACGAAGGCCAGGGGAGCAAACGGG